AUAUAUUUAUAUAUAUAUAAUGUACUUGCUUGGGAUGAUACACAGAAGAUUAGUGUGGCUCCUGUGCAAGGAUGGCAUGCAAAUUUGUGAAAUUUUCUAUGGUAUA
rfam:Octopus bimaculoides Scaffold12634_contig_85, whole genome shotgun sequence.